rnacentral:rRNA from 1 species
ACCUGCGGAAGGAUCAUUAAUGAAUUGUAAUUGGAGUUGAUGCUGGCAGUGGCUGCAUGUGCUCGCUCCUAACAAUCUUCAUCCAAACACCUGUGCACAUUUAGAGAGGGUCUCCGAGUACUCCUUGGAGUCCCUUCCUCUCAUUAUACACUAGUUUUUAAUAUUGAACGUGAUUGUGCCGUGAGGCCUUAAUAUUAAUACAACUUUUAACAACGGAUCUCUUGGCUCUCGCAUCGAUGAAGAACGCAGCGAAAUGCGAUAAGUAAUGUGAAUUGCAGAAUUCAGUGAAUCAUCGAAUUUUUGAACGCACCUUGCGCUCCCUGGUAUUCCGGGGAGCACGCCUGUUCGAGUGUCGUAAAAUUCUCAAACUGGGAUGCUUUUUUGUUUCUCGGCUUGGUGUUGGGCUUUGCAGUUCCUUUGAUUGGGAUAGCUGGCCUCAAAAGCAUUAGCUGGCUUUUCAUGUGGCAUUGGUUCUACUCAGCGUGAUAAUGAUCUGACCGCCGAGGACAUCUUUCGGGAUGGCCAAUUCUCAUUUGGGCUGCUUCUAAUUUUGGUAGAGCGGAUUCUGAAUCUGUUC